UUACACCUGAAAGAUAUCUGCUAAGCCCAGAUCGUCUUGA
rnacentral:tRNA from 1 species